rnacentral:rRNA from 1 species
UACCAGACUCCUACGGGAGGCAGCAGUGGGGAAUAUUGCACAAUGGGCGAAAGCCUGAUGCAGCAACGCCGCGUGAAGGAAGAAGGGUUUCGGCUCGUAAACUUCUAUUAACAGGGACGAAAGAAAUGACGGUACCUGAAUAAGAAGCCCCGGCUAACUACGUGCCAGCAGCCGCGGUAAUACGGAGGAUGCGAGCGUUGUCCGGAUUUAUUGGGUUUAAAGGGUGCGUAGGCGGAAUGCCAAGUCAGCGGUAAAAUCGCGGGGCUCAACCUCGCUCCGCCGUUGAAACUGGCGUUCUUGAGUGGGCGAGAAGUAUGCGGAAUGCGUGGUGUAGCGGUGAAAUGCAUAGAUAUCACGCAGAACUCCGAUUGCGAAGGCAGCAUACCGGCGCCCAACUGACGCUGAAGCACGAAAGCGUGGGGAUCGAACAGGAUUAGAUACCCGCGUAG